rfam:Myotis lucifugus cont2.3215, whole genome shotgun sequence.
GGUGGUUCUCGGGUGACGCACCCUGGAAUCGGGUUCCCUCCUCUCUGGUUCUGGGGUGUGUCACCAGAGAACCACC